rnacentral:lncRNA from 1 species
CCAUGAUAAGUCCGGGCAAAAGGGACUGAGUAACUUGGGUAUUGGGCACCGAAGCAAAUUCUCAAAGCCGCGUUGGAAGGGCAGAUGGCUUAUAGAUAUGUGACAAACGACGAGAUAAGUGCAGGUAGAAACUUUCGGAUGUCUCUUUCUCCGCGAUCAGAAUGUUGCUAGUGUCCUGGGAGGGCUCUGGAGAGUGCAAGCAUCUCCGUUGCCAGUCGUAAGAGUAUAAAUUGGACCGCUUCUUGGAGGGCAGCGGUGCACACAUAGUCUUUUCAUUUCAAACGCACGUUUCCUUUGACUCAGCGAUUCCGCCUUUUGGAAUCUAGCAGAAAUAAGGUGUGUGUUCCAAAAAAGGCUGCACUAGGAUCAUCAGUGCUGGACGCCUGAAAGUGAACGGUGGGCGAAGACUUGGUGCGGGUGGGCCAGGAGCCGAGUCAUGGACUGUGCGGUCCAUGACUGCGCGGUUGAGAGGAACCAGACGAUAUCGGACGGAGACCUCCGAAGUGGAAGAAGGCACCCAAAGGAGCGAGGGAGACAUCUUUCACUGUAUAUUCCUUUGUGUAAUUUAAACUGCAUCAUUUGGUGAUUUUUGUUGUUGUUUGUUUUUGCUUUUUAGGGCUGCACCCGUGGCAUAUGGAAUUUCCCAGGCUAGGGGUCGAAUCGGAACUACAGCUGCUGGCCUAUGCUACAGCCACAGCCACAGUAAUGGGGGAUCCAAGCCAACCUACACCACAGCUCAUAGCAACUCCAGAUCCUUAACCCAGUGAAUGAGGCCAGGGAUGGAAUCUACAUCCUCAUGGAUACUACUAGAAGGGUUUGUAACCUGCUGAGCCACACCAGGAACUCCAUGUCAACUUUGUCAUAAAGUGCAUCUCUCCUUGAGUUCCCAUUGUGGCUCAGCACAUUCAGGAUCCAACACCGUGGGAGGGUGUGGGUUUGAUCCUUGGCCCCCCUCACUGGGUUAAGGAUCUGGCUUUGCCACAAGCUGGGGUGAAGGUCGCAGACGUGGCUUGGAUCUGGUGUUGUCAUGACUGUGGCAUAGGCCUGCAGCUGUGUUUCCAAUUUGACCCCUAGCCUGGGAACUUCCACAUGUCACAGGUGCAGCCAUAAAAAGAAGAAGAAAGUACAUCUCUCCUGGUCUCAGAUUCAGGUCAUAGGAAAGACCAGAAUUUAAAAUUUCUCAGAGUUAUCUCAUGGCUCAGCAGAUGAAGGAUCUGGUGUUGUCACUGCUGAGGCUUUGGUUACAGCUGUGGCGUGGGUUCCAUCCCUGGCCCAGGAACUUCUGCAUGCUGUGGGGCAUGGCCAAAAGUAAAUAAAUAAAUAAAAUUUCUUCAAAGAAAUUUAGUUUGGAUAGAAAAGAAGCAAAUCACAGUACCUUAUUGGACUCGGAGUUCCGCUCAUGGCUCAGCAGUAACGAACCCAACUAGUAUCCAUGAGGAUGCGGGUUCAAUACCUGGCCUCACUCAGUGGGUUACAGAUCUGGCAUUGCCAUGAGCUGUAUUGUAGGUUGCAGAUGCAGCUCAGAUCUGGCGUGGCUGUGGCUGUGGCGUAGGCCAGCAAAUGCAGUUCCAAUUCUCCCCCUAGCCUAGGAACUUACAUAUGCCGCAAGUGCAGCCCUAAAAAA